CAAGAAACGAGGCUACGUGCCCCGCUCUUUACCUUGCCUACUGCACUAUCUGUUGCUUCCUGGCGGCGGUUUGCCUGCCGCCAGGGACAUUGUAAAGCCCUGUAUAAGUAUUAAAACACUGAAGCAAACCGAAUCGUA
rnacentral:misc_RNA from 1 species